rnacentral:rRNA from 1 species
GUCAAUAGCCUAACGGCUGAACCAGCAAUUUGGGGGAAUGUAUAGUAUAUGCUAAUUGUAUUUUAUAUACAAUAUCGACUAUGUCGAAUAAAGUUCUAGAUAGAAUACUGAUAAUGACAAUUUUCUAUCUAUAUGUCUUGACCAAAUCACGUGCCAGCAGUCGCGGUAAUACGUGGAAGACUAGUGUUAUUCAUCUUUAAUAGGUUUAAAGGGUACCUAGACGGUAUUUCUAGCCCAAAAAGGGUACGGAUUUACUAGAGUUUAAUAUAAGAAGAAAAAAUUAAUGAGGAUCGGUUUAGAUAUAUUAUCUGGUAUAGGGCCGCCGAUAAUCAUUUUGUAGUACUUGAAGUGUAGAGAUAAAAUUUUGUAAUAUUUUAAGGAAACUGGUAAUGCGAAAGCAACCUUCUAUGUAUAAACUGACGUUGAGGGACGAAGGCUUGGGUCGCGAAUAGGAUUAGAUACCCUAGUAGUCCAAGCAGAAAAUUAUGAAUGUCAUAGAUCAGAUUUAUUUUGGUUUAUAAAUGAAAGUGUAAGCAUUCCACCUCAAGAGUAAUGCGGCAACGCAGGAACUGAAAUCAUUAGACCGUUUCUGAAACCAGUAGUGAAGUAUGUUAUUUAAUUCGAUAAUCCGCGAAAAACCUUACCACAAUUUGAAUAUUAAAAAAUACAAGCGCUGCACGGCUGUCUUCAGUUAAUGUCGUGAGAUUUUGGUUAGUUCCAUUAAAUUAACGUAAACCCUUGCUUUAUUUAUAAUAGUUAUAUAAAGUAGUUCACCGCUAUAUUGGAUAUGAUAAAAGGGAAUAAGACAAGUCAUCAUGGCCUUAAUAUUGUGG